UUGAGAAGUAAAAGUCGUAACAAGGUCUCCGUUGGUGAACCAGCGGAGGGAUCAUUGCUGGAACGCGCCCCAGGCGCACCCAGAAACCCUUUGUGAACUUAUACCUUACUGUUGCCUCGGCGCUAGCUGGUCCUCCGGGGCCCCUCACCCCCGGGUGUUGAGACAGCCCGCCGGCGGCCAACCCAACUCUUGUUUUUACACUGAAACUCUGAGAAUAAAACAUAAAUGAAUCAAAACUUUCAACAACGGAUCUCUUGGUUCUGGCAUCGAUGAAGAACGCAGCGAAAUGCGAUAAGUAAUGUGAAUUGCAGAAUUCAGUGAAUCAUCGAAUCUUUGAACGCACAUUGCGCCCUCUGGUAUUCCGGAGGGCAUGCCUGUUCGAGCGUCAUUUCAACCCUCAAGCCUGGCUUGGUGAUGGGGCACUGCCUGUAAAAGGGCAGGCCCUGAAAUUCAGUGGCGAGCUCGCCAGGACCCCGAGCGCAGUAGUUAAACCCUCGCUCUGGAAGGCCCUGGCGGUGCCCUGCCGUUAAACCCCCAACUUCUGAAAAUUGACCUCGGAGCACGUAC
rnacentral:rRNA from 1 species